ACAGUACAUCGGUCUAUCGCGGAGUAAGGGAAGAAAUUUACUUAUAACUAUCUUAUAGUUCAUAACUAAAUUAAUCCCCUACGACGAGGAAAGUCCGGGCAGCAUAGAGCAACACAGCGGUUAAUGGCCGUCAGGCAGUAAUGUUUGGUCACUGGUACAGAGACGAGUCGCCAUCAGGCGGGUGAAACGACUACACUGUGCGCUGCAAUUCCAAGUAUACCAAUGUUUGAGCGCUGCUCGCGUGAGUUGGAGGGUAGGAAGCAAUAGAAGGGCGCAGCAAUGCGCACCUCAAGAUUAAUGAUAGACGCCACUUUGGAGCACUAGAACCUUGAAACUUUUAGAACCUUGGUACUUUCAACUCCCUUUUGUGGUACAGAACCCGGCUUAUAGAUGUGCUGUUUUU
rnacentral:RNase_P_RNA from 1 species